rnacentral:rRNA from 1 species
GACGAACGCUGGCGGCGUGCCUAAUACAUGCAAGUAGAACGCUGAAGAGAGGAGCUUGCUCUUCUUGGAUGAGUUGCGAACGGGUGAGUAACGCGUAGGUAACCUGCCUUGUAGCGGGGGAUAACUAUUGGAAACGAUAGCUAAUACCGCAUAACAAUAGGUGACACAUGUCAUUUAUUUGAAAGGGGCAAUUGCUCCACUACAAGAUGGACCUGCGUUGUAUUAGCUAGUAGGUGAGGUAACGGCUCACCUAGGCGACGAUACAUAGCCGACCUGAGAGGGUGAUCGGCCACACUGGGACUGAGACACGGCCCAGACUCCUACGGGAGGCAGCAGUAGGGAAUCUUCGGCAAUGGGGGCAACCCUGACCGAGCAACGCCGCGUGAGUGAAGAAGGUUUUCGGAUCGUAAAGCUCUGUUGUAAGUCAAGAACGAGCGUGAGAGUGGAAUGUUCACACUGUGACGGUAGCUUACCAGAAAGGGACGGCUAACUACGUG